rnacentral:tRNA from 1 species
GGGGCGGUAGCUCAGUUGGGAGAGCGUAGCGUUCGCAAUGCUAAGGUCGAGGGUUCGAUCCCCUUCCGCUCCA